rnacentral:lncRNA from 1 species
CUAUAUGUAAGCACUUGUCUUCAUCUUCUCGUACUGCCCAUUUCGCUAAGUCUCCAUUUCUCAUCCUAAUGGAAUUUAAUUUCAUUCCGCAAAUUCAAACACUUCUCUAAGAAUUUUUAAGAAUGUUUUCCGGCUCCUUGUGUCAGGUGUUCUCUCCUCCUACAUCUCCCAUCCUUUUUUUUUCCAUUUUUCUCGGUAUGAAUACCAUUGCGAUUAUGAUAGUACUACAACG